CCAAAACAAGUCGAUUAAUGAGAUAAUAUCAAUUUCGUAAAAAAAAUGUCAUUCAACAACUUCAUCCAUUGACCCGUUAAAUUCUUAUCGCUUUACACUACUAGUACAUCGACAGAAAAUUAGUCUGAAUUCCUAUGGUGCUUUAAAAUAUAUGUUAGACGAAUCAAAAAAAUCGUAAUAUCAUUAUUACAGUCGAAUGUUUUAUAGUCCGAUUUUCACAUUGGGUAUUUUGGUGUACGGUAUUAUAGAAAAAAAAAACAAACGCGAAGAGUAAUGUUAAACCUUUGGUCAUAUAAUAUCCGUUUCUAAUUAUGUGCGUAUGUCGUUGCUGGAUUGUCUAUUUUAGGUGUGCCGUCGGUCGUUUUGCACUGCACAUUGGCACUAGCAGCCCGAAUCGUAAAACACUCUACUAAACUUAUUUGUUAAACAAUAAUAAUAAUAAUAAAAACAACAUGAACAAUCGAAUUUG